CGGGCCCUCCCGGUGCCCUCCCGGUGCCCGUGGGGGACGCGGAGCCCCGCGCCGCGGAGAGAAGGGCAGCGCGCGGGAGAAGGCAAAAAAUCCGGCGUUGUUUCCCAACUGCACCCAAAAACCGUCAGAGCCCGAAGCGGCGCGGUGCCGCCUUGGGGGGGUGGGGAGGGGUUGUUAUUAUUAUCGUUAAUUUGCUUGAAUAAAUGCGAAGGGUGCACAAAGCGCUCCGGCCAGCCCGGGCCGCGGCCAACUUUGCGGGCAGCAGUUCGCUCCGCUCUCUAUUAUCUGCACAGCCGUUGAUCUUUUUUUCCCCCGCCAUUCUCUUUCUUCUUUCCUUUUCCCCCCUUUAUUUUUCUUUGCUUUAUUAUUUUUUUUCCUUUCUUUUUCUUGUUUUCUUUCUUUCUUUUUUUUUUUUCCUUUUUCUUUUUUGCCCUUAAUUUUAUUUUUGCAAAGGCGGCGUUCUGCCUCGCAAUAAUUACCAAUCGCAGACAGCGCUAUAAAUCCCCUCAUUUUCUGUGCUGGAAAAGCAUUUGCAAAGAGCUGUGGGGUGCAGGAGGGGAAAUAAAAGACAGAAGGAGGGCGGCGGGGCUGCGGGGUGCGCGGAGCCCGGCGCUGUGCAUGGCACAGAGCUCCGCUCGCCGCCGGCUCUCUGCAGGAAACGUAAAAUCUGAUCAAGUUCAGAGGCGCAUUGAGAGCAGCGCUUCAAGCAGCGCUUUAUAACCGCGGCCCUUUCACAUCGUUCCCCCCAAUCAGCCCCCGGGAAAAGCCUUCGCCUUCUUUAUUUUAAGGGUUUGCAGGGAGCGAAAAAAAAAAAAAAAAGAGAGAGAGAGAGAGAAAAAAAAAAAACCACCGCUAUAAAAUCUCCCCGAGGUCCCACCGGUGCUCGGUAACGCUCCCAUUGCCCAGGCCACGGGCCUGCUACCAGCCCAGAGUGGAGACAAGAGAACUGUGUCACCCAGAAGGACACAAGCCUGAGGGCAGGCUGGGGCACUGCCAGGGACCGACAUGCCCCACGUCCACCCUGCAAGAGCAAAGUCACCCUUUCCUACCUAACCAAGCAGCCCCCUAUGCAGGCUGGGCAGUGCUCAGAGCAGCCCUGCUGGAGGUUUGGCACUGGCUUUACCUUCCAGUUAAAUCAUUAUUUAAGAAGAAACAAAGAUGUUGCUGGGUUGAACAAGGCCGAAACCAGGCUUUAGAGAAGUUGCCCCAGAAACAGGCAUGGAAAGAUCUCCUCCAUUGCCCCAUAUCCCUCUGAAGGCACAUGGAGGGCAUCCCAGGAGGAGGUUAUCAGUCAUCGGACAUCACCCACAGAUACAUCCCCCACCCCCACCCCACCAAGGCAGCAUUCACACAUCAGCAGCGCUGUCUCCUAUGCAGCGCAAACACUCCACAGCAAAAAAGCAGUGACCAAAGGCUGCAGAUGCCCUGAUGAGGCUGCAACCCGUUGGAGUCCAUGGCACAACACUGCACCCAGCCAGCAUCGCCCACCACCGUGCUCCUGCUGAUGCACCGCACCCAUCAGUCUGCACUCUGGGUGAGCAAAUGUUUUGAUUGGG
rnacentral:lncRNA from 1 species